UACAGAGGUGGCAAGCGUUGUUCGGAAUUACUGGGCGUAAAGGGCGCGUAGGCGGCCCGCUAAGUCGAACGUGAAAUCCCCAGGCUCAACCUGGGAACUGCGUCCGAUACUGGCAGGCUUGAAUCCGGGAGAGGGAUGUGGAAUUCCAGGUGUAGCGGUGAAAUGCGUAGAUAUCUGGAGGAACACCGGUGGCGAAGGCGGCAUCCUGGACCGGUAUUGACGCUGAGGCGCGAAAGCUAGGGGAGCAAACGGG
rnacentral:rRNA from 1 species